UCCCCCGUGGUGUAAUUGGCAACACUGAGGCCUUUGGAGCCUUAUUUCCAGGUUCGAGUCCUGGCGGGGGAG
rnacentral:tRNA from 2 species